rnacentral:rRNA from 1 species
AGUUGGUGGAGUGAUUUGUCUGCUUAAUUGCGUCAACGAACGAGACCUUAUCCUGCUAAAUAGGAGUAAGAAAUUCGUUUCUUAUAUCACUUCUUAGAGGGACUUUGUGUGUCUAACACAAGGAAGUUUGAGGCAAUAACAGGU